UAAGUACAUGUUAGUGUGUGAAUUUGAUGUUGCCAUAGAAGGGAAAAAUGAUCAGCAUGUCAUAAAACAUAAGAAAAUAGGAUGAAGUUUAAUUUACGAGCCUUGGGGCAAAAGUGCAAAUAUGUGAAAGUUUAGGGGCAAAAAUGUAAUUUUGCCAAAGUUUGAGUAAAGGGUUGUUUUGAUAAAUGUUGAUAUUAAAUAAGCUAAAUUUGCUAUUAUAGAUCAAGAAGAGCGAAAUUCGAGAGUAGAUCGGGGAAAAGAAAAAGUAAAGGACUAAAUUGUAAAGUUUAGUCACAUUUUGUAUCGAGUACUUAUCUAGCCACUCGGGGAUCGAAGGAAACGUCGGAGGCCGAUCACACUAUCAAAGAAAUAACUCGGUAUAAUUAGACGUUUUGUUUUGUGUAUGGCAUGUAUAGAAACUUAGCCACUUUUGGUAUAAUAUGAACAAUGAAUGAUGUGUAAAUACUUGCUAGUGAUUAGCUAAUAAAAAUGGCCGAUGAUAUGCAUGUUUAUUAA